rnacentral:rRNA from 1 species
GGAGGGUGCAAGCGUUAAUCGGAAUUACUGGGCGUAAAGCGCACGCAGGCGGUCUGUCAAGUCGGAUGUGAAAUCCCCGGGCUUAACCUGGGAACUGCAUUCGAAACUGGCAGGCUGGAGUCUUGUAGAGGGGGGUAGAAUUCCAGGUGUAGCGGUGAAAUGCGUAGAGAUCUGGAGGAAUACCGGUGGCGAAGGCGGCCCCCUGGACAAAGACUGACGCUCAGGUGCGAAAGCGUGGGGAGCAAACAGGAUUAGAUACCCUGGUAGUCCACGCCGUAAACGAUGUCGACUUGGAGGUUGUUCCCUUGAGGAGUGGCUUCCGGAGCUAACGCGUUAAGUCGACCGCCUGGGGAGUACGGCCGCAAGGUUAAAACUCAAAUGAAUUGACGGGGACCCGCACAAGCGGUGGAGCAUGUGGUUUAAUUCGAUGCAACGCGAAAAACCUUACCACUCCUUGACAUGGAAAUUAUACCUAUUCGAAGGGAUAGGGUCGGUUCGGCCGGGUUUCACACAGGUGU